rnacentral:rRNA from 1 species
UACAGAGGUCCCAAGCGUUGUUCGGAUUCAUUGGGCGUAAAGGGCGCGUAGGCGGCUUUGCGUGUCUUUCGUGAAAUCCCUCGGCUCAACUGAGGACGUGCGGAAGAAACUGCAGGGCUGGAGUCCGGGAGAGGAGGGUGGAAUUCCCAGUGUAGCGGUGAAAUGCGUAGAUAUUGGGAGGAACACCGGUGGCGAAGGCGGCCCUCUGGACCGGUACUGACGCUGAUGCGCGAAAGCGUGGGGAGCAAACGGG